GACGAACGCUGGCGGCGUGCCUAAUACAUGCAAGUCGAGCGAAGUUUUUCUGGUGCUUGCACUAGAAAAACUUAGCGGCGAACGGGUGAGUAACACGUAAAGAACCUGCCUCAUAGACUGGGACAACUAUUGGAAACGAUAGCUAAUACCGGAUAACAGUAUUUCUCGCAUGAGAGAUAUUUAAAAGUUGGUUAUGCUAACACUAUGAGAUGGCUUUGCGGUGCAUUAGCUAGUUGGUGGGGUAAAGGCCCACCAAGGCGACGAUGCAUAGCCGACCUGAGAGGGUGAUCGGCCACACUGGGACUGAGACACGGCCCAGACUCCUACGGGAGGCAGCAGUAGGGAAUCUUCCGCAAUGGGCGAAAGCCUGACGGAGCAACGCCGCGUGAGUGAAGAAGGAUUUCGGUUCGUAAAGCUCUGUUGUUAGGGAAGAAUGGAUAUGUAGUAACUAUACAUGUAAUAGACGGUACCUAAACAGAAAGCCACGGCUAACUACGUG
rnacentral:rRNA from 1 species